GGGGACCCUGUAGUGGGUAGGAGGGUGGAUUUCUGCCUUCGUGAAGCUCACAGGCUGGCGGGGGAGGCAGAGAGAGAAGCAGCUCCCAAUAGGCUGGAGGGCAGGGGAAGCAGACCCUCACAACAAGCGGUGCUCUUGAAGCUCAGUUCGUGCUCUGGGACAAGAAUGUGACUCUAAGGACUGCCUUGCUAACCUUGGAAGCAAAAAGUCUCCGUGGGGAUUAUUCACUGGCAUCACUGGUCUCUCUAGCGAGCUGUGCUUCCCAUUCGUCCGUUAUGCACAGGAAAUGCCAGGCUGUGCCAAUGGCAAUUGCAAUGGUGAAGGGCACAAGUGAUUCUCAUAAGACCUCGACAAUUAGGACACAGCUGACCUGAGGGAACACAGCAUGGGGAACGAGGGGCCCUCAGAGAAGCGUGCUAGACAACCUGCAACAGAAUCGCUGGAGAACUUGUUAAAAAUACAAAAUCCAAGGACUUCCGUGGAGGUCCAGUGGCUAAGACUCCACACUCCCAAUCAAUGCAAGGGGCCUAGGUUCGAUCCCUGAUCAGGGAACUAGAUCCCAAGGGCCGCAAGU